rnacentral:rRNA from 1 species
UACGUAGGGUGCAAGCGUUAAUCGGAAUUACUGGGCGUAAAGCGUGCGCAGGCGGUUUUGUAAGUCUGUCGUGAAAUCCCCGGGCUCAACCUGGGAAUUGCGAUGGAGACUGCAAGGCUAGAAUCUGGCAGAGGGGGGUAGAAUUCCACGUGUGAGCAGUGAAAUGCGUAGAGAUGUGGAGGAACACCGAUGGCGAAGGCAGCCCCCUGGGUCAAGAUUGACGCUCAUGCACGAAAGCGUGGGGAGCAAACGAGAUACGAACCGUGUAGAUCCAUGACCAUUCU